rnacentral:rRNA from 1 species
ACGAACGCUGGCGGCGUGCCUAAUACAUGCAAGUAGAACGCUGAAGAGAGGAGCUUGCUCUUCUUGGAUGAGUUGCGAACGGGUGAGUAACGCGUAGGUAACCUGCCUUGUAGCGGGGGAUAACUAUUGGAAACGAUAGCUAAUACCGCAUAACAAUGGAUGACACAUGUCAUUUAUUUGAAAGGGGCAAUUGCUCCACUACAAGAUGGACCUGCGUUGUAUUAGCUAGUAGGUGAGGUAAUGGCUCACCUAGGCGACGAUACAUAGCCGACCUGAGAGGGUGAUCGGCCACACUGGGACUGAGACACGGCCCAGACUCCUACGGGAGGCAGCAGUAGGGAAUCUUCGGCAAUGGGGGCAACCCUGACCGAGCAACGCCGCGUGAGUGAAGAAGGUUUUCGGAUCGUAAAGCUCUGUUGUAAGUCAAGAACGGGUGUGAGAGUGGAAGGUUCACACUGUGACGGUAGCUUACCAGAAAGGGACGGCUAACUACGUG